CUCUCUCGUUAGACUCCGCCCCCUUUCUGCCUCUCCCCUGAACAGGGGCGGCCCGAGAUUUUUUGGGGGGCCCCGAACAGAAUUUGUUGUCAAACAAGCCUUUCGGUUCAGUCAAGGGAUCUUCAUCAUCAGCUAAUGUCCCAUUCCAUUGAAUCACAGCGGCGCGACCGGGCUGACCUAUUUCGUAGGCUCCUUCAAAGGCGGCCGACAAAUAUGCGUCCUUCCAUUCCCGAGCAACGAAAGAUCAAUCGAGUGGAUCCUUCCCGCGUCAACCUAUCCCAGGAUACCUUGCUGAUUCCUCAGAGACACACCGGGACCACUGAUUUAUUUUGGAAGAUGACCUGAGCUCUUGGGGCUAGAUGUGAACCCUGAAGGACAACGGCGGUGCCCAUGGGCCACAGGGGGGCGGUGUUUGCCGGUGAAACAGCAGAGGGAUGCACGGCAAUUAGAGCACGGCGAGAUGGAAACUGAUGAAUAUUUCAGCACCGCUGUCACCGCCGUGCCGUUCUGUUGGAGGGCAUCUGGAUUGUAUCCUGCUGCCACCACCCCCACCUGUCGGCCGCCCUGCCUGGCUUCGGCUUGACACAUGCUUGACACAUGCUUGGCAGAUAUCGUAUCAUGUGCCGGUGACAUCCGCGUUCUCCUGUCCAAGUAGCUGCACUGUAGAUGAGUAUGUCGUUUGUUCCACAAUUUAUAUCAUCUAACUGUACAAAUGUGAUGUCAGGCCUUUAUAGCUGAUGUUUGAGGCUAAUGUCUGAACUAAAGUUCACUUGGUCGCAACAGAGAUCUGAAACUAUUACUCACUACACAUAGUAUAAUCAGAGACUAUGCAACAACAUGCAAAUGCAAUUGCUUAAAAUGUUUUUUUAAGUCAUAAAGGCUAUUUGUUUAUCUUUAAUUUCCAUGACAUAUUCUACAGAAAUAGACAUUUGCACUUCCCAGUUAAUAUUCAAAAAGAAACAUCAAGAUGAACCCGCUCUACCUUUUAAAAAGAAAGCCUCUGCCCUGAUGCCCCUGAGCAAGACACACAAUUGUUUGACUCUCCUCUACAGUUUGCCAGGACUGAAGGUGUGACACUGUAUGAAUAUAAAACAGGAUAGUGCAUUAAAAACUGUGCUCAAGUUUUCCAGGACAAACAGAAGAAGAGGCGCAGACAAGCAAAUGAACGUGGUGAUAUAUCGGUGGCACCGACACUAAAGAAAUGUAACCUCGCUGCUCUUACCACUUAUGUCCGUUAUUUAAAUUCAAGUCCCGAUGAUAUAUUUCGACACAGAAGCCCAUGAGAAUCUUAAGAGAUAAAACACAAUCACAUUGGGUGUUGCCGCUUCCAUCCUCAUAAUCUAAUUUGGAAGCAGACAUUGCUCUGUGGGAAGUCUGCCUCUCUGUCUGUCUUCUGAGUAUGAACCCUGAGUGAACUUCAUCUCACCUGCUGUUUCACUAGCAAGCCCUGCCCCCGUGUGGCCCAUGGGCAGCGUUGCAUCCUACGGCUGAAGGCAAAAAGGGAGACUUUUUUUUUUUAUAAACAGUAAGAACCACAUUUGACAAUAUGAGGACACUUGUUUUCAUGUAAUGCCAGGUUUUGUAUGUGUCAUUUGUAUUUUCCUUCAUGGCAUUUAAAUUAAUAGAAGCAUUUAUAGACCUUACUUGAUUUUUUCCUCCUAGUUCCUUAAGGAUUCCCCUUCACAUCUUUCCGUUACGUCAUGGAGUUUCCCAUCAGGGUCAAGGAAUAGUGGUUAGAAAGCUUUUCGACUGCAGACCAGCACGAUUUCCAUGCUGGCGUCCGUAUAAUAAUACAUACGAUCGUCAGCACAAGAGUCAGAUGGGAGUCGAUGAGGACGCUGCUGCUGUACUUCACCUUAAAAAGGACAAAAAAUAUAUAUAUAUCGAAUAUAAUAUGAAACAGUCGGCAUAACAAUAACAGCCAGAGACGGAG